GUGUGGUCAACCACUAAUUCAUGGUAGUGGCCAGGCCACACCUAAAGGAAACCGCCUUCCCCCACACACCAUCAACUGACAGAUCUCCUUACUUAGGGGUUGAUGCUAGUGAAUGUUGGCCCCCUUUUAUCUGGUUUGAUCCUGUGCAGUCCUUCUGCAGGUAACCCCACUUGUUUUGAGUUCAUGAUCACAGCUUUUCUGUCAUCCUGCAAGACCCUGUUUCUAUGGAUCUUAGCAUCCAUCCAUCCUAACUUUCACUGUGUUCCCGGAGCCUUGGUGGGGUCUGGUGAUUUUUAGUGUCUUGUUCAUGACUGACUAUUCCACACACAUCUACUCUCUGCACAUUGACCAGUUGAGAACCUGAUCAAAAGACCCUAUUGCCACAGACACUAUCUUGUUGGGCACAGGUCACAGAGAAAUUAAGCAAUAAUCAGGUUCUUCCCUGUUUGGUGGCUUUCAUAGUACUGAAAAGUGCCAUGUAGUUUGUUGGAGAAUAAAAGAAGUCCACAAUCUCACACAGCUGUGAGCACUGUGCUACAGUAACAACCAGCACGGCAGGACAUGUCCCUGGAGGAAGAGUGACACAGUGUCAUAGGGGGGACCAACUGAUUUCUAGUGGACUUGGGACCAGCAGGAGGAAGCAGUGCCUUGCACUGUAAAUUAGACCAAGAUCUUAUGGUGACGCUAAUAGUGACGAAAAGAUGGAGAAGUGGACAUGUGCCCUCUGCCCUGAAGGCCACGACUGGAGUGUGAUUUACUUCGAACCAUAAUCGAAUAUAGCAGCUCAUGAAAACUGUCUGGUAAGUUACUGGUAAAAACUUUAAAACUACAUGUUUAGGACUGAAAAGUGGGUCAGUGGUGAAAAUCACCAGACACUCUUCCAGAGGAACUAGUUUCCAUUCCCAGCACUCACAUGGUGCCUCACAACCAGCACGGAAGAUCUCUGUGUGAAGACGAUGAUGACAGAAGUCAUAAUGUCUGCAGGGGCAGAGGGCCUUUGAGGUGGAAAUACUGAUUUAGUUCUAACUGCCCCAGUCUCCUGAGUGCUGAGUCUACAGGUAUGUAGGGCCACAUCAAGGUAUCAGAUCUGUGUUAAAUUAUGAAUCAUCUGUCCUGUAUCCUUGAGUGUGUAUUUCUACAUCAAGGACCUUGUGUCCCAUAAGUGCAAUUUACCCAUCAAGGUCAGACAUGAGCACUGCCUCUCUAGCGCCACCUAGAAGCCUCAUUGAGUUUUCACCAGCCGUCCCAACAACAUGGCCAAGGGGUGAAUGAAGCACAGGGGCUGCAGGGAGCCUUUUCCCUUUAACCUGUUGUGUCCUCAUAACAUUUCCUGGUAAUUUGAAGUCACUUCCAAUUGUCUGUUGACAUGCCAGUAUUUUUAGUAAACUUUCUUGAUAUGCUUUUCAUUAAAACAAAAGUGUAGUGACUGAAGUGUGCAGUUGUGUUUUGAGACAUACUUGCUCCAUGUGGUCACUGUCACUAUUCAGAGAGCUCCCAGGACCCCAGAACAUCCCCUCAUGCCUCUCUGCAGUCAGCCCACACUUACUCCAUG
ensembl:lncRNA